rnacentral:rRNA from 1 species
UACGUAGGGGGCAAGCGUUGUCCGGAAUCAUUGGGCGUAAAGCGCGCGUAGGCGGCCUCAUAAGUCCGUUGUGAAAGUCAAAGGCUCAACCUUUGAAAGCCGAUGGAUACUGUGAGGCUAGAGUCCGGAAGAGGCGAGUGGAAUUCCUGGUGUAGCGGUGGAAUGCGCAGAUAUCAGGAGGAACACCAAUAGCGAAGGCAGCUCGCUGGGACGGUACUGACGCUGAGACGCGAAAGCGUGGGGAGCGAACAGG